UAGUGGCGCCCGCCCUGUGGAAUGCUCUCCCAUCCGAUGUCAAGGAAAUAAUCAACUAUCUGACUUUUAGAAGAUAUCUGAAGGCAGUCCUAUUUAGGGAAGUUUUUAAUGUUUGAUGUUUUAUUGUGUUUUUAAUAGUCUGUUGGGAGCUGCCCAGAGUGGCUAGAGAAUACAUACAUACAUACAUACAUACAUACAUACAUACAUACAUACACACACUCAAAGAGGGUCUUGUUUCUCCCAUAGCCGUAGCAGUGGAUUCAGACAGAAAUCUACCAUCAUCUUCUGACCAUCUCUCCAGCUUUCUUGCCUUUAACAGCCUGCAACCUAAUUUUCCUUUAGAUCACACCACGGGGAACCCUAACUGCCUUUGUCUUCUAACUAUGAGUUGAGGAAGGGGCACAGAGCCUCCUCUUCUUGCCUUUCCUAAUAGCUCAUCGCUUCAGGUGAUUUUCUCACAAUGAAAAUUGCCUGGCGUAUCUUUUCACAUAUGCUGAAUCCAGGGGUUCAAUGCCUGGCACCCAGAAACUCAUAACAUUUAACUUCCUUGCAGCCUAAGGAAAGCUGUUUGUUUCUUAGUGGAAGACACUGGCAGAAAUUGCUAAUGUAGAGUAACGUCUGAUAAUGGAUCAGUGUGGUGUCUGUUUGAAAUGCAAUUAGUUAAAAUGCAGAUUUAAAAGUGGUUAUAAUGUAUUUGGAUCCUGUAUUUUUUAAAGCGCAACGCCUAUCUAUAGAUGUAAAAGAAUAUAGAGUAAAGUGUUAUGCUAUAUAGUUAUGUUUAGAACUUUAUAGUGUUUAUAGCUUAAUAGUAUUAUAAAGUAUAUAAGGUAUUGUGUGUACGAUACACGUAGAUUUGCAUAUUUUAAGCAGGAACCCCAAAAUACUUUUUACGAUUCCUGCCCAUUGCUGCAUCGAGGCUGGUAUAUGCAACCUUGCCUACGCAAUGAUUUUCGGGGGUGGGACACGCGAUGGAAAAGUUUGUUUAGUGAGCAGGUUGAGUCGCCGAAGUGCUUUUUCCCCUGCCAGAAAACCGUUAACUGACAACAGCUCCUGACUGGCCAGAGUUCCAAGGGAGGCAGUUGGAGUGAGAGUCUGUGUCAGAGACCCAUGGGGUCUGUGAGGGAGAAAUUGGAGGAUGGAGUGAUGGUCAUGAAGAAUAAGAAGGAAACAUUAGUGAAGAUGAGAUCACUAUAUGUUCAACCAAGCGACCAGGGGAUGGAGGCCACACCUGCUGAUAUGGUGUCUGUGGAUCUUUCUGACACUUCCACUUGCUGAGUCACUUUGCUGAGCAACUAUUUAUCUAUAGUUCAAAGAAAAGAGAUCGUUGGUGUAAAUUGUGUUUUCCGAAAAAUGAAAAUUUCUUCAUCUUGCCUAUGUUCCGGUCUGCGCAGGUUGAGAGAGCUGUUGGCCUCCUGUUGCUGCUCCAUAAAAAUCCAUCCCCUGGACUGUAUGAGGGAAGAAAGCGUCAUAGUAGAUGGAAGGAGGAUUAAAUUAAGAACAAUCUAUGUUAGGCCAAAAGACCAGCGGAUGGAUGCCACCAGUUCUUCCACCAGUGGUGAGUGUUGAUCUGUUAGAGACCCAUGGGUUCUGUGAGGGAGAAAUCGGAGGAUGGAGUGAUGGUCAUGAAGGAUAAGAAGGAAACAUUAGUGAAGAUGAAAUCACUAUAUGUUCAACCAAGCGACCAGGGAAUGGAGGCCACCACUGCUGAUAUGGAUGGUGUCUGUGGAUCUUUCUGACACGUCCCCCUAUUUAUGGAUAGUUCAAAGAAAAGAGAUCGUUGGUAUGAAUUGUGUUUUCCGAAAAAUGAAAAUUUCUUCAUCUUGCCUAUUUGAGAGCUGCUGGCCUCCUGUUGCCGUUCCAUGAAAAUCCAUCCCCUUGUCUGUUUGGAGGAAGAAAGUGUGAUGGUAUAUGGAAGAAAGAUUAAAGGAAGAACGAUUUAUGUAAGACCGAGAGACCAGGGGAUGGAUACCACCAGUGCUUCCAUCAAUGGCAGUGACAACAGUGAGACUAGCAGCUCCAGCACAGCUCUCUCUCCCCUCCAAGACCCAGUUCCCCCGUCCCCAAAAACUCAAAUAUAUAUAUAAAUAAAUAGUAUAUAUUUCCAAAACA